AUUGAACGCUGGCGGCAGGCCUAACACAUGCAAGUCGAACGAGUGGCGGACGGGUGAGUAAUGUCUGGGACACCGCCUGAUGGAGGGGGAUAACCACUGGAAACUGGAGCUAAUACCGCAUUCCCUCAUAAGUGCCCAUAUGGGAUUAGCUUGUUGGUGGGGUAAUGGCUCACCAAGGCGACGCCCCCUAGCUGGUCUGAGAGGAUGACCAGCCACACUGGAACUGAGACACGGCCCAGACUCCUACGGGAGGCAGCAGUGGGGAAUAUUGCACAAUGGGCGCAAGCCUGAUGCAGCCAUGCCGCGUGUAUGAAGAAGGCCUUCGGGUUGUAAAGUACUUUCAGCGGGGAGGCGUUACCCGCAGAAGAAGCACCGGCUAACUCCGUGCCAGCAGCCGCGGUAAUAC
rnacentral:rRNA from 1 species